rnacentral:misc_RNA from 1 species
UACGGAGGAUCCAAGCGUUAACCGGAAUCAUUGGGCUUAAAGGGCCCGUAGGUGGCUUGUUAAGUCAGAGGUGAAAUCCUGCAGCUCAACUGUAGAAUUGCCUUUGAUACUGGCUAUCUUGAAUCAAUGUGAGGAAGUUAGAAUAUGUAGUGUAGCGGUGAAAUGCAUAGAUAUUACAUAGAAUACCAAUUGCGAAGGCAGAUCACUAACAUUGCAUUGACACUGAUGGACGAAAGCGUGGGGAGCGAACAGG